UACGUAGGGGGCAAGCGUUGUCCGGAUUUAUUGGGCGUAAAGAGCGUGUAGGCGGCUUGACAGGUCUGCUGUGAAAACUCGAGGCUCAACCUCGAGAUGUCGGCGGAAACCGUCUGGCUAGAGUCCGGAAGAGGAGAGUGGAAUUCCUGGCGUAGCGGUGAAAUGCGCAGAUAUCAGGAAGAACACCUAUGGCGAAGGCAGCUCUCUGGGACGGUACUGACGCUGAGACGCGAAAGCGUGGGGAGCGAACAGG
rnacentral:rRNA from 1 species